rnacentral:rRNA from 1 species
GAUAAACGCUGGCGACGUGCCUUAUGCAUGCAAGUCGAACGGUCCUUCUUCGGAAGGGUAGUGGCGAACGGGUGAGUAACGCGUAAGUGACCUGCCGAGAAGUGGGGAAUAACUGGUCGAAAGAUCAGCUAAUACCGCAUGAGCUCCCUGGUGUAAAGGCUGGGGAGGAAAGCCGAAAGGCGCUUUUCGAGGGGCUUGCGUCCGAUUAGCUAGUUGGUGGGGUAAAGGCUCACCAAGGCGGUGAUCGGUAGCUGGUCUGAGAGGAUGAUCAGCCACACUGGGACUGCGACACGGCCCAGACUCCUACGGGAGGCAGCAGCAAGGAAUUUUGGGCAAUGGGGGAAACCCUGACCCAGCAACGCCGCGUGGACGAUGAAGGCUUUCGGGUCGUAAAGUCCUUUUGUGGGGGACGAUAAUGACGGUACCCCACGAACAAGCCCCGGCUAACUACGUGCCAGCAGCCGCGGUAA